UACGGAGGGGGCAAACGUUGUUCGGAAUUACUGGGCGUAAAGGGUGCGUAGGCGGUUCGAUAAGUCUAGUGUGAAAUCUCUCAGCUUACCUGAGAAACUGCGCUGGAAACUAUCGAGCUCGAGGAUGGAAGAGGCAGGUGGAAUUUCUGGUGUAGCGGUGGAAUGCGUAGAUAUCAGAAAGAACACUCGUGGCGAAGGCGGCCUGCUGGUCCAUUUCUGACGCUGAGGCACGAAAGCCAGGGGAGCAAACGGG
rnacentral:rRNA from 1 species